rnacentral:rRNA from 1 species
AUGAGGCACCCAGACCAGUUGCAGCGAGAACCGGCCUCCAGAUCCGGAUCUGGGCGACCCCACUGCCGGGCAUCUAGCAUUCUAGCCACAAUGGUUGUCCAUACAAUUGUUCACAAUGGCAAGGAACAUAUAGCUAUUUACAUAACAGAUCAUAUGGUAGGUCACAAAUUGGGGGAAUUCGUGCCUACUCGGCAUUUCAUGAGUUAUGAAAAUGUAAGAAAUGAUACUAAAUCUCGUCGUUAA